ensembl:snRNA U4 U4 spliceosomal RNA
AGCUUUGCGCAGUGGCAGUAUCGUAGCCAAUGAGGUUUAUCCGAGGCGCGAUUAUUGCUAAUUAAAAAAAGAUCCUUCCAGAGAUACACUGUCCACGUAUAAGCACAUACAAAGGUAAUUACUGGGAUGCCCUGGUGGUC